rnacentral:rRNA from 1 species
ACACAUGCAGUCGAGCGCACCUUCGGGUGAGCGGCGGACGGGUGAGUAACGCGUGGGAACGUACCCUUCUCUGCGGAAUAGCCACUGGAAACGGUGAGUAAUACCGCAUACGCCCUUCGGGGGAAAGAUUUAUCGGAGAAGGAUCGGCCCGCGUUGGAUUAGGUAGUUGGUGGGGUAAUGGCCUACCAAGCCUACGAUCCAUAGCUGGUUUGAGAGGAUGAUCAGCCACACUGGGACUGAGACACGGCCCAGACUCCUACGGGAGGCAGCAGUGGGGAAUCUUAGACAAUGGGCGCAAGCCUGAUCUAGCCAUGCCGCGUGAGUGAAGAAGGCCUUAGGGUCGUAAAGCUCUUUCGCUGGGGAAGAUAAUGACUGUACCCAGUAAAGAAACCCCGGCUAACUCCGUGCCAGCAGCCGCGGUAAUACGGAGGGGGUUAGCGUUGUUCGGAAUUACUGGGCGUAAAGCGCGCGUAGGCGGAUCAGAAAGUUGGGGGUGAAAUCCCGGGGCUCAACCUCGGAACUGCCUCCAAAACUCCUGGUCUUGAGUUCGAGAGAGGUGAGUGGAAUUCCGAGUGUAGAGGUGAAAUUCGUAGAUAUUCGGAGGAACACCAGUGGCGAAGGCGGCUCACUGGCUCGAUACUGACGCUGAGGUGCGAAAGUGUGGGGAGCAAACAGGAUUAGAUACCCUGGUAGUCCACACCGUAAACGAUGAAUGCCAGUCGUCGGCAAGCAUGCUUGUCGGUGACACACCUAACGGAUUAAGCAUUCCGCCUGGGGAGUACGGUCGCAAGAUUAAAACU